rnacentral:rRNA from 1 species
GUGCUGUGAGGCAUGCUGGAGGUAUCAGAAGUGCGAAUGCUGACAUAAGUAACGAUAAAGCGGGUGAAAAGCCCGCUCGCCGGAAGACCAAGGGUUCCUGUCCAACGUUAAUCGGGGCAGGGUGAGUCGACCCCUAAGGCGAGGCCGAAAGGCGUAGUCGAUGGGAAACAGGUUAAUAUUCCUGUACUUGGUGUUACUGCGAAGGGGGGACGGAGAAGGCUAUGUUGGCCGGGCGACGGUUGUCCCGGUUUAAGCGUGUAGGCUGGUUUUCCAGGCAAAUCCGGAAAAUCAAGGCUGAGGCGUGAUGACGAGGCACUACGGUGCUGAAGCAACAAAUGCCCUGCUUCCAGGAAAAGCCUCUAAGCAUCAGGUAACAUCAAAUCGUACCCCAAACCGACACAGGUGGUCAGGUAGAGAAUACCAAGGCGCUUGAGAGAACUCGGGUGAAGGAACUAGGCAAAAUGGUGCCGUAACUUCGGGAGAAGGCACGCUGAUAUGUAGGUGAAGUCCCUCGCGGAUGGAGCUGAAAUCAGUCGAAGAUACCAGCUGGCUGCAACUGUUUAUUAAAAACACAGCACUGUGCAAACACGAAAGUGGACGUAUACGGUGUGACGCCUGCCCGGUGCCGGAAGGUUAAUUGAUGGGGUCAGCGCAAGCGAAGCUCUUGAUCGAAGCCCCGGUAAACGGCGGCCGUAACUAUAACGGUCCUAAGGUAGCGAAAUUCCUUGUCGGGUAAGUUCCGACCUGCACGAAUGGCGUAAUGAUGGCCAGGCUGUCUCCACCCGAGACUCAGUGAAAUUGAACUCGCUGUGAAGAUGCAGUGUACCCGCGGCAAGACGGAAAGACCCCGUGAACCUUUACUAUAGCUUGACACUGAACAUUGAGCCUUGAUGUGUAGGAUAGGUGGGAGGCUUAGAAGUGUGGACGCCAGUCUGCAUGGAGCCGACCUUGAAAUACCACCCUUUAAUGUUUGAUGUUCUAACGUUGACCCGUAAUCCGGGUUGCGGACAGUGUCUGGUGGGUAGUUUGACUGGGGCGGUCUCCUCCUAAAGAGUAACGGAGGAGCACGAAGGUUGGCUAAUCCUGGUCGGACAUCAGGAGGUUAGUGCAAUGGCAUAAGCCAGCUUGACUGCGAGCGUGACGGCGCGAGCAGGUGCGAAAGCAGGUCAUAGUGAUCCGGUGGUUCUGAAUGGAAGGGCCAUCGCUCAACGGAUAAAAGGUACUCCGGGGAUAACAGGCUGAUACCGCCCAAGAGUUCAUAUCGACGGCGGUGUUUGGCACCUCGAUGUCGGCUCAUCACAUCCUGGGGCUGAAGUAGGUCCCAAGGGUAUGGCUGUUCGCCAUUUAAAGUGGUACGCGAGCUGGGUUUAGAACGUCGUGAGACAGUUCGGUCCCUAUCUGCCGUGGGCGCUGGAGAACUGAGGGGGGCUGCUCCUAGUACGAGAGGACCGGAGUGGACGCAUCACUGGUGUUCGGGUUGUCAUGCCAAUGGCACUGCCCGGUAGCUAAAUGCGGAAGAGAUAAGUGCUGAAAGCAUCUAAGCACGAAACUUGCC